rnacentral:tRNA from 2 species
ACCACAAUCGGACAAGGGAUCCGGACUUAAAAUCCGUCAAGUGUCGGUUCGAGUCCGACUGGGG